GGGUGUAUACUACUGUGAAGUGUUUAUACCUAAGCCUGAGGGGUCAACAGAAGUGAAAGGCACUGGAACAGACCUUUCACUUCAUGCUAAGCCAUCUUCUGUGGAAAUCCUGCCACUGUCUCUACUAGUUUCUGGACGUGAGGCUGCCCUCUGCUGCACAGCAUAUGGGUUCUACCCUCAGAACCCCUCAAUGCUCUGGUUCCACAGAAAUACCUCAGUGGCAGCCAGCAACAUCAUCUCUAACAUCACCAGAGAAGAUGAUGGCACUUUCACCAUGAGCAGUCAGUAUAUGUUCAUCCCCUCAGAGGCUGACCACACUGCAGAGUGUCUCUGUCAGCUCUCUCACCCAGCCUGGAAACUGCAGAGGAAUGCCAGCAUCAAGCUCAACAUCAGCUAUGCACCCAGCUCUGUGAUUGUGACCUCACACUCAGGUCUUGUAAUUGGCUCCUUGCGCCUGACACAGGGAUCCUCCCUGAGCCUGAGCUGUGUUGCUAAUGGGAACCCCAGUCCUGAGAUACAGUGGCUGGGAGGAAACAUUACAACAGAGGACGACAGACAGA